AUUGAACGCUGGCGGCAUGCCUUACACAUGCAAGUCGAACGGUAACAGGUCUUCGGAUGCUGACGAGUGGCGAACGGGUGAGUAAUACAUCGGAACGUGCCUAGUAGUGGGGGAUAACUACUCGAAAGAGUGGCUAAUACCGCAUGAGAUCUACGGAUGAAAGCAGGGGAUCGCAAGACCUUGUGCUACUAGAGCGGCCGAUGGCAGAUUAGGUAGUUGGUGGGAUAAAAGCUUACCAAGCCGACGAUCUGUAGCUGGUCUGAGAGGACGACCAGCCACACUGGGACUGAGACACGGCCCAGACUCCUACGGGAGGCAGCAGUGGGGAAUUUUGGACAAUGGGCGCAAGCCUGAUCCAGCCAUGCCGCGUGCAGGAUGAAGGCCUUCGGGUUGUAAACUGCUUUUGUACGGAACGAAAAGCCCUGGGUUAAUACCCUGGGGUCAUGACGGUACCGUAAGAAUAUGCACCGGCUAACUACGUGCCAGCCGCCACCGUAA
rnacentral:rRNA from 1 species